AAGCCAGUCUGAGAUGAUCGGAGAAAAACCCCUUGUCAACCUUCCUUCUCAAUGGAAUUGAAGCGGCGAAGGGAACGGCGAAGAUGAUAGGUCGGUCGGUCUUCCUUUCCAGGAAAAAAACGGAGGAAAAAAGAGAGUGGAAAGAAGGAAGGAGGGUGUGGAUGAAACGAAAAUGGAGACUUUUUAUCAUGUGAAUGGUGUUGGUUACUUAGUUUGGGUGAGUGGGUUUCUUCGGUGGGCCCAACGUGAUUUUUUUUCCUAACUUUGAAAAUUGAAAAUUGAACUCUCCGUCUUUCACUCUCUCUCCUCAAAUCACAUCCCUUUUUAUAAAAAUUAAAUCAAAAUUACAUAAUACACAUGGAGUGGAGGAGUUAUAAGUUUAUAAUUCUAAAAUCUUCUAAAAUAUUAACAAACAAAAGAUUACCCGAACACAAUUAUUUAAGUAAAAUUAAUUGAUUAGCAAUGGGCAAAUUAUCCAAUUAAUCAUUCGGUCCAAAGAAUUAUUGAUCCAAUAAAAGAAAUAAGAUGAAGAUUAAUUAAAUUGUUACAAAGUAAUUAGUUACAAUCUAGUUAAUUAAACUCCAUUGUAUAAACAAGUGAGUUAUGAAUUAUAUUCCCCCUUUACUGUAAUAGUUAAACUCUUUCUUUAUUGUAAUCGUGCAUAGUUAGAGUUAAUGGAAAUAGAUUCCCCCCAAAUCGUUCUCGCACCGGUGACCUAAAUCAGUUCUGCCUUUUUGCUAUGGCGACCUCCGGAAAACAACAUGAUAUCAUAUGAGAAGAACGAAGCAUCCGCAACGUAUCAAUCAUAGAGCUCUGAUUCACCACCAAAAUCAGAUUGACCAUCAUCGAAUUCCGAUGAGCAUAGUGCACCAUCCGGUGAGUAGUCUGGAUCGAUUUAUGACAGGACCUCCUUCUAUUACUUGACGAUGUCUGAUAAGCUCAUUGGAGAAGCAAACUAUGUUACUUGGGCAAAUGCAAUGAGAUUAAGUCUUGUUUCCAAUGGUAAGAUUACUAAACCCACAUAUGAUGAAGUUAAAUCUUGGGAGACUGUUAAUGACGUCAUUUUUUUCUUGGAUUAUCAAUGGAAUCUCCCCACAAAUCGUUGGAUCACUUACAUAUGCAGUAGUCUGGAUGGAUUUGGAGGAAUGCUCCCAAGAUCAAUUAGUUAAGAUACGAGUUAAAUACUUUAUGCCAAUGUAAUUAGAAUUAGAUGAUUUUGAAUUGUGUGAGCAUUAAUUGCGAUCCUAAAUAUCAAAAGAUAAAGUCCACCAAAGAGAGGCCGGACACGUCUUGUCAUACAUAGAUUUACUAAGCAACUAUCUACCUUUUUUUCAAUUAUCUACCUUUCAAACCAUUGUCAACCCUAAUCAUCAUUUCCCUCAGCCAUGUCAUCACUGCCAUGUCACGGUAAGCCACUCCUACACUCAACCGUCGUUUGGUUUCCCAACCGUUGCAAAUCCCAUAAGUCACCAUAAAUUGAACUGACCAUUCCCAAAAUCAAACUACUGAUUUCUACUAUUUUGAAAUUCAAAAGCUCAUUCUCCCUACUGGGAAUCUUUGCGCUCAAUCUGAACUCAUUGCUGCUUCUGAUCUCAGUCUUCGUCCUCCUUCGAUCACCAUCAGCUUCCGCUACUCACCCGAUCACUUGCUUACAGUAUUGCUUUACUUACGUUCUUUCACAUAUAUUUUCCAUCUACCCGAUCACUCUUGUUUCCAUCGUCAUUAUUUAUAUUACAUCUAUCUAAACAUUCAUAUUAAAAUAAUAUUUAAGCUACUGCAACAUAUAUAUAUAUUACAAUCACAUAAACGAUAUUACAUCAUUAAUAUAUUUGUAUAUCGAUCAGUAGUUUUCCAUACAUAUCUUUAGCAAAUCUUAACAGCAAGGUUUUUUACUUGGUGACCUAAGAAGAAAAACAAAAGGAAAAUUUGAGAGAUAAAACAGACGACCGAGACAUCAACUUGAUCUGUAUUUUUUGCAAAUAAGCCAACCCAUUGAAAAGGAAGGGAGACAUAAAAGAAAGGUCAGAAGUGGAAAGAAGCUUGAUACAAACAGUUUUUGUUAGCAUUAAUUGCAAGUAGUAUAGUCAGUUGAAGAAAGUAGUAAAAGAUUUUGUUCCUCGAUCGUUCCCAAUUUGAUGUAUGUCAGAACAAACUGAUCGUGACUAAGCGACGCUAUGAGGAUGCCCAAGAACUUGUAGAUAACACUAGCGACUUCGGAGGGCGUGUGUUAUAUGGACUUUGAUGCUCAAGUCGUUCAAGGCUGGAUAUUGAGAAUGUCGAAAAGCUUGGGCUGAGGAAGAGAAGGAGUCAUGACGACAGUAGGAUGGGGCUGAGUGAUUUUUUGUUUUGUUUGACUCUUUAAUGUUAUUUGCGAUUAACAACAUUAGAAAAUACUUUUUAACAUUCUAUAUAAUAAUUUUUUUUCUUUUUGAUAAAUGUAUCUGCAAUCUUUUCGAUAACUUGAAAAAGCAUUAGAAAAUUCGUGAUUUAAUAAUAUUCGAAGGUAGUCAAAUUUUUAUUUGGAUAAUAAAUGCAUUUAUGGCUUUAACAAUUCAUGCACAAUACGGUCGUACAUUCGUGUACUUGGAAGUGUUGAUCCAUCGAUCCUAUCUCGUAUUUUUUUGUUUAUGAUCGAUGCACGGUCGUCCUUGCCGAUACCAAUGAUCUUUCUGAUAGCGAUUGUGGUAGCGAGUAACGUUUUGCUUGUAUGCUUCGUUUUUUAGGUUGUCGCAGUUGAUUUGUUCGUCCACUAAUUUUAAUGCCAUGGAGUAGUUUUCGUCGUUUCUUCCUGCCACUCGUGUUGUUGGUAUGUUUAUCGAUCUCUACCUCCAUUUCAUAUGCAUGUCAAGGGAAAUGGGGUCUUCCCUGUGUGUGUAUGUGUGUUUUCCAUCUGCACAUACCCAUGUCUUCUUCACACUUUUCGCUUAAGAUUAAUUGAGAUCCGUUAUUCGUGACUAUGCAUGUGUUGUGAUAUACCGAAACGGUAGAUAAUGCCGGCCGGCCGGCCUUUGAAUAUAAACUUUACUCCAACCUCUUGUGUAAUUUUUGACACAGCUUUUAAGUUUAUGAUUCGAGCUACUUUGUGAAGUAAUUUAUGAAUAUAUAUGAACUUUAAUUUAUUUAUCCUGUUAAAGGAGUAAAUGGUCCGAUUAAAUCCAUUUCCCAUGUGUUUGAAAGGGAGCAGUCAUAUCUGUUAAGGGUAAUUAACAACUCGUGUUUGGACCGGAUCAUUAUGUAACAUAUAUAUACCAGUAGCAGCCAGGGGUGAGUCUCUCUCUUGAAGAAUAAAUACUCUUUACUUCCUUCGUGUAUCUUUAACUUGUUAUAGAUCGAUCGAGUACGUCGUAGAACUUGACAAAUCUAUUUUUUAACUUUCUUCUUUUGAUUUUAUCCUCGAUCGGGAAGUUAAAUUAUUUUAUUUAGGUUCUCCAAUCUUGUGUGACUGGUUUUGUUUUGAUUGCUAGCACUUCUGGGAUGGACAUCCAAGUUAAUUGGUAUUUGUUCGACACUAGACACUUACGAUAUUUUCCGAUCAAGCAAAAGAAUCGCAAAUUUUUAUCGGUUGCUUACCCAUAAGAUUUCUGGGCCUUUAGGGUGGUCAAGUUGUACGAAAAAACCAAAGAUCUGAAUGACCACAUGCAUUAAUCGGUUCUUUUACCAAACGAUUGAUGAUAUUUUUUGUAGGUUUGAAGAAGAAAAAACAACAUGAAUGUGGAAACUUACUUAAUCGUGUGAUAUUUUUUGGGUUAAGAUCGAAUGAUUUAUGUUGAAUAAUAAUAAUAAUAAUAAUAAUCCCGUACAACACACAUUCUUAAUUCUUAUAUCUAUUGAUUAUAUAUAGUUGAUGGAUGAAUUCUUAUAUUAUGGUAGAAACAAAAAUGGCAAAGUUGAGGUCCGUCACCUUGACCGAAUUUUAAUUUCCAAAUCUAUUUAAAUAUACAAACUACCAAUUUCACAAUCUGCCAGCCAAAUUUAGAGAGAUUGUGCUUUAAUUAAAAAAAUGCACUUGUACUUAAUACUUAUUAAACCAAUGAUUAUAAUUGUAACUCAAGUUGUCAUAAAUAUAUACUUAAAAAUAAUAAACUUAUUCAGUGAUAUUAAAUUUAUUAAUAGGCUGAUGGCUUUCGAUUCCAUCUCAAACUAUUUAUUAAAUAGUUAUAAAUUUACUUGAGAUAUAUAGUUAUAAAUUAGGAGGAAUAUUGUUUUUAUACGAGUAUAAGGCAGAGAGAUAUAAUAUCAAAUUAUCAACCGUAGAGAUAAUAUCUAAUGGUUAGAUUUAACUGACAUAUUUUGACAUAUUUCACCUGAAAAAUCAAAAUGGUGUAUAAAUUAGAUACAAUAAGAUAUGAUAUUUGAAUUAUUAAUUCUUUAAGUCUUUCAAACUAAAAAUUAAAUAGAUAAAUGAUACCAUGUUUUAUUUCAUAACUUGAUAAUAUGAUUAACAUGUAUGUAAAUGGUGAUAUUGCAAAAUUUCUCCUAUCAAAAUUAAUCAUUUAAAAAUACAACAAAAUGAUCCAAAAUUCUAUUUUUUUUUAACAACCGAAGACACUUUUGAACAAGUAGAAAAACCUACAUUCAUGUAAUAUUUUAAAAUCAUAUAAUAUAUCUACGUAAAUGAAAUGAAAAAUACGUACAAACCAUAAACCACCCAACAAUGGAUUUCAGUUAAUUUUCUUGUCAAAAUCUUAUAAUAAAGAGAAAGAGAGAGAGUAUUUCCUAUUUAUUUUAAAGAUAUUAAGACUAAAACAGCAUUCUCACAAUAUUAUUCCUCCAAUCAACCAAAAGAAAUCGACAAAAUAACAAAAGAAAGUCCCACAUCGAUCACCGUCAUUCCAAUCAUUAUCGUCCACAAAUGUUCCCGUCAUUUUCUGUCCACGUCAUCAGUAACCGGCGUAGUCUGGUCCGUCGUCGGGAACGGCAAAGGCGAAACAGAGGAAUGGAGAGGUCAUCCAUUGAUGAGCUUUUUACUUUUUUUUCUUUUUCUAAUUUUCAGGUGUUACUUGUGUUAGUCGUCAUUCUGAGACACGCUUCUCCAGAAACCACCACCUUGGUCGAAUUUCGCCCACAUCUCUUUAUCCAUCUCGACCAUCUCCUCCGACUUCUUCUCCGACCACAUCGUCUCCGUCAAACCCAUCGUGGUACCGUUCAUCCUUCCCAGUCUCGCCGCUAGAUCGGACCCAAAAUCCUCGGAGAUUUUCGUAUCCGCGUUCUUUUGUCGUUUCUUCAUUUUUCUCCUCCUCAACGCCUUCCGACAGAGUCCUGCUGGGAGCUUCACCAUAGUGAGCACGAGGAAGUCGAGAACACCGCAAGGACAGCAGCAACACACUGCCGCGCAACCGGCGGCAGUUCCUCCGAUAAGCUCUGCGCAACCUGGUUUCUGGCCACCUCUGAUGGCAACCCCGUUCUCUCGGGGAAUGAAAAGUUGCCUACGUUGUUGGAAAGAUAAGUUGGGGGAAGGCUGAGAUAAUUCAGACAACCUCGUCGGAGAAAUAGCAGGGUUAGGGAUGGGAAGAGAAGAUAGCGAUGACGGUGAAGAUGGAGGAGGCGGAGGUAAUUGCGACAGCGAGCGAUGACGUUUCUGUUUCCGAGGCAUUUUACCCUGAAAUGGAUGUUUGGGGUAGUUAUACCCAAAUCAAUCAGAGAAAGAUUCCGUCGCUUCGAGUUUUCAUUCCGAGGUUUCGACAACGACAGAAGAAAUGGGGAUGACGACGAUCUUUGGUUAUUCGAUCGGGAGGAGGGAUGACGGAAACAACAAUGAAGUGUUUGUUUGGGUUCCCGUAACAACCGGUUCUUCUCUGGCUAUAUAUAUAGAAGAAAGCGAGAAAGGUGGAGAAUAGAGAUUUACAAAGGUUUUGGCCGUUUUCACCGCAACUACUGGUACCUGCCGGUGUAGAAUGGAACAGUCAAUCAAGAACUGCCGACGCAACGGUGGGGAGAAGAUGAAAGAGGAGGGAGGAUCGGAAAGAGGGAUGGAGUUUGAUUAAUUUAUUUCUGGGUCCCAAACUCCGAAGAGGGGAGGGAAAUUAAAUUAAAUUAAAUUUUAUUGAUCAUAGUUUGGUUUAAAUUACUUAGAAAAAACAAGUUAGAUGUAGGAGGAGUUUCAUAUGACGAAUGAAUAAUUUUGUUUGUUUUCAGUAGAUGGAUGGAUGAUUAUACAAUUUAAAUGUUAUAUGCAGCCUUAUGAUGGACGUGUAUUGCUAUUGGGCCAUUGGCCUAUUGCCUAUUGGUGGACUGGACUGGGAAUCAUCGAUAAUAUGAAUGAAUCUCAUUGAAUUAAGAAUUUAGAAAAUAACUUGAUAUAAAAAGAUAACCAACCGUUAAAAAAGACGGGGUAGACGGGGUUUGGAAAUUGGAAUCGGAAUUGGGCGGAGGACGACCUUCACUUCACCAGAGACGAUGCAGAGACACAACUGAAAUCCGAAGACGACCGGGAUUAGGGAUUGAAGGAAGGAGGGAGCCAGCCAGCCGGAUGUCACUCGUCUUUCAAGUAGGAGGACUAGGUGCGCAGCAAGAUUUUGAACCCAAAGCUUUGCCAAGGUUACGAUCGAAGAUUGGAAUCGUUAAGGUACACAAUUUGAACCAAAACAUUUAUUAAAUAGUCCCUGUAGUUUAUUUUAUUUCAAACAAUUAUUUAGUAUAAGAAUCUGUAACUGUAACCAACCAAUUGGGGAAUAUCAACCCUAAGUAACUUGUUUCGCCUACCAUCAUUACAGAUGUGACAAGUUAAAUUUCUGAGAUUAGAAAUAUGAUGAAUAAAAAUUGGCUUCUUUAGAGUUGGGAAAACAACUAUCUGAUCUAGGCAUAGGCCAACCGGCCGGCCGGCCAUACAGAAAAACCACCAGAUCUGGGGAAAAAUAUUACAGCAAGUACAACAUCGAUCUGGACAUUUUGACCUUUCCGGACCCAAAGCUUAUCUAACAUUAGCCAGGAUCGUUAAGGCACAAUUUGGGGCGGCACGGCAACACUCAUU
rnacentral:lncRNA from 1 species